AUCGUUCAAUCUGUAUGAACAGAUCGGAAGUAGGUUAAACCCGAAGGAACGCGGA
ncrna:unclassified sequences Glutamine riboswitch